GAGGGUAUAGCUCAAGUGGUAGAGCGCAUGCUUAGCAUGCACGAGGGCCUGGGUUCAGUCCCCAGCACCUCCU
rfam:Camelus ferus unplaced genomic scaffold scaffold961, whole genome shotgun sequence.